rnacentral:rRNA from 1 species
UGCUAAUUUGCUGACGAGUGGCGCACGGGUGCGUAACGCGUAUGCAAUCUACCUUGUACUGGAGUAUAGCCCAGGGAAACUUGGAUUAAUCCUCCAUAGUCUAUUGAUAUGGCAUCGUAUUAAUAGUAAAGGUUACGGUACAAGAUGAGCAUGCGUCCUAUUAGCUAGUAGGUGUGGUAACGGCACACCUAGGCAACGAUAGGUAGGGGUCCUGAGAGGGAGAUCCCCCACACUGGUACUGAGACACGGACCAGACUCCUACGGGAGGCAGCAGUGAGGAAUAUUGGACAAUGGGCGGGAGCCUGAUCCAGCCAUGCCGCGUGCAGGAAGACUGCCCUAUGGGUUGUAAACUGCUUUUAUACGGGAAGAAUAAGUGUUACGUGUAGCACGAUGACGGUACCGUAAGAAUAAGCACCGGCUAACUCCGUGCCAGCAGCCGCGGUAAUACGGAGGGUGCAAGCGUUAUCCGGAAUCAUUGGGUUUAAAGGGUCCGUAGGUGGACUAAUAAGUCAGUGGUGAAAGUCUGCAGCUUAACUGUAGAAUUGCCAUUGAUACUGUUGGUCUUGAAUUGUUGUGAAGUAACUAGAAUAUGUAGUGUAGCGGUGAAAUGCAUAGAUAUUACAUAGAAUACCGAUUGCGAAGGCAGGUUACUAACAAUAU